rnacentral:tRNA from 1 species
GGGGCAUUAGCUCAACUAGGUAGAGCAGCGGACUCUUAAUCCGGAGGUUGCUGGUUCGAUUCCAGCAUGCCCCA